rnacentral:rRNA from 1 species
UAGUCAUAUGCUUGUCUCAAAGAUUAAGCCAUGCAUGUCUAAGUAUAAGCACUUUAUACUGUGAAACUGCGAAUGGCUCAUUAAAUCAGUUAUAAUUUACUUGAUAGUACCUUACUACUUGGAUAACAGUGGUAAUUCUAGUGCUAAUACAUGCUUUAAGCCCCGACUUCUGGAAGGGGUGUAUUUAUUAGAUUAAAAACCAAUCGUAGCAAUACGUUUACUGGUGAAUCAUGAUAACUAUUCGAAUCGCAUGGCUCUGCCGGCGAUGGUUCAAUCAA